rnacentral:rRNA from 1 species
GGAAUAUUGGACAAUGGGGGCAACCCUGAUCCAGCAAUGCCGCGUGAGUGAUGAAGGCCUUCGGGUUGUAAAGCUCUUUUGCCAGGGACGAUGAUGACGGUACCUGGAGAAUAAGCCCCGGCUAACUGCGGUCCAGAAGCCGCGGUAAUACGAAGGGGACAAGCGUUGUUCGGAAUGACUGGGCGUAAAGGGCGCGUAGGCGGCUUAUCAAGUCAGGCGUGAAAUUCCCGGGCUCAACCUGGGGGCUGCGCUUGAUACUGAUGAGCUUGAAUGCGGGAGAGGAUAGUGGAAUUCCCAGUGUAGAGGUGAAAUUCGUAGAUAUUGGAAAGAACACCGGUGGCGAAGGCGGCUAUCUGGCCCGUGAUUGACGCUGAGGCGCGAAAGCGUGGGGAGCAA